GUACACAAUGACUAAAAUUUCUUUGCUUUGACCUGAUAUGUAUUGAAGAAAUCCAGCAUCUGAGA